rnacentral:rRNA from 1 species
UACAGGGGGUGCAAGCGUUGCUCGGAAUCACUGGGCGUAAAGCGAGCGCAGGCGGCCGAUUAAGUCAGAGGUGAAAAGCCCGGGGCUCAACCCCGGAAUGGCCUUUGAAACUGGUCGGCUUGAACUGCAGGAGAGGGUCGCGGAAUUCUUGGUGUAGAGGUGAAAUUCGUAGAUAUCAGGAAGAACACCCGUGGCUAAGGCGGCUCUCUAGUACGGUACUGACGCUGAGACGCGAAAGCGUGGGGAGCAAACA